UGAUGGUUUAUGUUACCUUCCUGGAGGGUGCAAGGGUGGUGGAAAUUGGCGAAGGGGAAGAUCAAGAAUCUGGAGCUGUUAAGAGGCCAAUAUUGAUUGAUCAGUAUGGCAGAAGAUGGAUCAAUUGUGGAAGAGAUAGAGAGAACAGAGGGCCUCUUAAAAAGACAUUAUGACAGGCUGGCGGAGAUCGAGCAACAGCUGAGGCAGAGGAAGCUGUCCCAGGCUCAAGAGGACACGGCCAAAGAAGAGCUGGACGACAUCAAGGAAACGCUGAAGAGACAUGAGACAACCUUGAGCAAUCUGCGGAGGGAGAACCAGAAGUCUUUAGCGAUGGUGAUUGUCUUUAUUCUCAUCUUCGGAUCACUGUACCUGAUGUUUACCGUUCUUAAACAGGCCGGUUGGCUAUAGCUGCGUGAGAUUUCUGACAACAAGCAUCUGUGUAAGGGACCUCAAAGCCCGCAGUCGCAACGCUGGCCUUUUAGGCGGGCGCUCGAUUAUGUCUUCUCUGAUCUCGUCAAGAAACCAGGAGCUAUUUGCCUUUUCGAUUGGACCCGGUGUGUAUUGAUCGUUGCAAUUUGACCAACAUGUGUGGGGCGUUUAGAUCAUCUGGGCAGUUCAUCAAUGCUGGAAGGACGAACUGACACCGUAGCGGAUCAUACCAAAUGUGCAAUCACGAUCAUGUCGUGAAUGUCUUCCUGGAUAGACUUCGCCUGCUCGUGGAGCGUCAGGAUCCGUGCAGGCGCAGUUUCGGGUGGUGUGAUAUGCGGUGGCCGGGAAGAAUAUAAUAACUUGUUAAAAAAUGAAAGAGCUUUUGCGAGAUUCGUUAAACUAGCUUUUUGUAGUCGACUCCAUCACAUACACCGCAUGAAACGGCGCAAUUUAGACCAUUUUACCGAUGAUUUCUUUGAACAAAUUAUUAUUUUUUUGUUUCGUAAAGCAGCGCAUCUGUGAACUUGAUUGCCUGACACCAUUAACAUUGGUUCAAGGGAUAUGUGAUCCGUUUUCCUGUCUUGUCAUUGCCGUGAUUAGUUGUUUGAGCUUUGCGAAGCCGUCCACUUUUGACCAUCGUUCUGUUCGCGGAAUAAACAUUGGAGCAGAC